rnacentral:misc_RNA from 1 species
GAUGAAGAACGUAGCGAAAUGCGAUAAGUAGUGUGAAUUGCAGAAUUCAGUGAAUCAUCUAAUGUUUGAACGCACAUUGCGCCCCUUGGUAUUCCAUGGGGCAUGCCUGUUCGAGCGUCAUUUGUACCUUCAAGCUUUGCUUGGUGUUGGGUGUUUGUCCCGAGGGACUCGCCUUAAAGUAAUUGGCAGCCAGUGUUUGGUUUUGAAGCGCAGCACAAGUCGCGAUUCAAGGCUACACGCCCGCUUCCACAAGCCUUUUUUCACUUUUGACCUCGGAUCAGGUAGGGAUACCCGCUGAACUUAAGCAUAUCAAUAAGCGGAGGA